rnacentral:rRNA from 1 species
CUUGAACGCUGGCGGCAGGCUUAACACAUGCAAGUCGAACGAGUGGCGGACGGGUGAGUCAUGCUUGUGAAUCUGCCCUAUGGAGGGUGAUAACUACGGGAAACUGUCGCUAAUACCGCGUACCAUCGGAUGAGCCCAGGUGGGAUUAGGUAGUUGGUGGGGUAAUGGCCCACCAAGGCGACGAUCCCGAGCUGGUCUGAGAGGAUGACCAGCCACACUGGGACGGAGACACGGUCCGGACUCCUACGGGAGGCAGCAGUGGGGAAUAUUGCGCAAGGGGGGCAAGCUGACGCAGACAGGCCGCGUGAAUGAAGAAGGCCUUCGGGUUGUAAAGUUCUUUCGGGGAGGAGGCGUUAAUCACAGAAGAAGCACCGGCUAACUCCGUGCCAGCAGCCGCGGUAAUAC